GUCCACGCCGUAAACGAUGUCUAUUAGCCGUUGGGGUCCUUGAGACUUUAGUGGCGCAGCUAACGCGAUAAAUAGACCGCCUGGGGAGUACGGCCGCAAGGUUAAAACUCAAAUGAAUUGACGGGGGCCCGCACAAGCGGUGGAGCAUGUGGUUUAAUUCGAAGCAACGCGAAGAACCUUACCUACUCUUGACAUCCAGAGAACUUGGCAGAGAUGCCUUGGUGCCUUCGGGAACUCUGAGAC
rnacentral:rRNA from 1 species